CCAGUUUUUAAUAAUUUUCAUUUUGUACAUAUUCUCCAACUUACGCACUAUAUCACGUUUUUCAUAGCCAUGGAGACGCAAAGAAUAGUAAUACUGCUUAUUACUUUGUAAUUCAGUUCUAUUAUGUUUUUACAGUAUCGCACCAGUGCGAAGAUCAUUUUCAGAACUGUACUUAUCUGGCCUUAAGUGGCGCCUGCGCUAAAGACUCGGCAUGGAUGACUGCGCACUGUGGCAUGUCCUGCAACUCAUGUCAAGGAACACCAACGUUUCCUGUGUGUGAAGACCGGCACAAAUACUGCCCCUACUGGGCUUACGCUGGAGAGUGCAAAAAAACUUCUGCUUACAUGUUGGUGAACUGUAAAUACAGCUGUAACAUUUGUGGAGGAAAUGUUGCGGAGUGUCAAGACCAAGACUAGAAAUGCUCUUCCCUUGCAAACAAAGGAGAUUGUUUGCAUAAUGCCGCGUACAUGUUGGUUAAAUGCAGGAAAAGCUGCUUCAUGUGUGGAGUAGAGUCAUCAGCAUGUCCGGACAAGAAUGACCGCUGUACCUAUCUCGCUUACAACGGUGAUUGCCGUACAAAGCAAACCUACAUGAUGAAGUUCUGUCAAAAGAGCUGCACUAGAUGUGAAGGUUGUACUGACAAACACAAGUAUUGUUCCUUUUGGGCUGCAAAAGGCGAGUGUGAAAAAAAUCCUGGUUACAUGAAGUUCUACUGCCAAAAGAGUUGCGACAUCUGCCAAGGUAUUUGUUUCAUUUCUUUGAUUUGUAUUUGAUUUGUAUUGUUGGAGAGGCUCGUGAUUUGCCGUCAGAGGUCAGCGUGGACAGUUCAUUCACGUAGAUAGACCUAACCUUACCAGCAUCUGUGCUGAGACCGCAAUAUUGAAUAACACUUGGCUGUUGGGCAGCAUUCGUCUUUCAAACAGUCUUCAAAUCCAUAUUACCAUUACUAUUUAGCGCACGUUACGUGUCAUUAUACAAAAAGAGUGUUGUGUUCGCUUUAUAGGAAGUGUAAGAUUUUGUUUCACAUUCGAUUGGUCUCGGUUCCUUCAACCGCCUGUUAUCUCUUUUAUGAAAUAAAUCUGCUUCUUAUUAUCAUUGUUGUCACUUAUUUAUGCAUUU
rnacentral:lncRNA from 1 species